rnacentral:rRNA from 1 species
GCAGAUUUUGAUCAUGGCUCAGAUUGAACGCUGGCGGCAGGCCUAACACAUGCAAGUCGAACGGAGUUAUAUUGUAGCUUGCUAUGGUAUAACUUAGUGGCAGACGGGUGAGUAAUGUAUAGGAAUCUACCUAGUAGUACGGAAUAAUUGUUGGAAACGGCAACUAAUACCGUAUACGCCCUACGGGGGAAAAAUUUAUUGCUAUUAGAUGAGCCUAUAUUAGAUUAGCUAGUUGGUGGAGUAAUAGCCUACCAAGGCAAUGAUCUAUAGCUGAUCUGAGAGGAUGAUCAGCCACACUGGAACUGAGAUACGGUCCAGACUCCUACGGGAGGCAGCAGUGGGGAAUAUUGGACAAUGGGCGAAAGCCUGAUCCAGCCAUGCCGCAUGAGUGAAGAAGGCCUUUGGGUUGUAAAGCUCUUUUAGUGAGGAAGAUAAUGACGGUACUCACAGAAGAAGUCCUGGCUAACUCCGUGCCAGCAGCCGCGGUAAUACGGAGAGGGCUAGCGUUAUUCGGAAUUAUUGGGCGUAAAGGGCGCGUAGGCUGGUUAAUAAGUUAAAAGUGAAAUCCCGAGGCUUAACCUUGGAAUUGCUUUUAAAACUAUUAAUCUAGAGAUUGAAAGAGGAUAGAGGAAUUCCUGAUGUAGAGGUAAAAUUCGUAAAUAUUAGGAGGAACACCAGUGGCGAAGGCGUCUAUCUGGUUCAAAUCUGACGCUGAAGCGCGAAGGCGUGGGGAGCAAACAGGAUUAGAUACCCUGGUAGUCCACGCUGUAAACGAUGAAUGUUAAAUAUGGGAAGUUUACUUUCUGUAUUACAGCUAACGCGUUAAACAUUCCGCCUGGGGACUACGGUCGCAAGAUUAAAACUCAAAGGAAUUGACGGGGACCCGCACAAGCGGUGGAGCAUGUGGUUUAAUUCGAUGCAACGCGAAGAACCUUACCACUCCUUGACAUGGAAAUCAUACCUAUUCGAAGGGAUAGGGUCGGUUCGGCCGGAUUUCACACAGGUGUUGCAUGGCUGUCGUCAGCUCGUGUCGUGAGAUGUUGGGUUAAGUCCCGCAACGAGCGCAACCCUCAUCCUUAGUUACCAUCAGAUAAUGCUGGGGACUUUAAGGAAACUGCUAGUGAUAAACUGGAGGAAGGUGGGGAUGAUGUCAAGUCAUCAUG